rnacentral:rRNA from 1 species
CGUGUAGGCGGCCAAACAGGUCAGCUGUGAAAACUCGAGGCUCAACCUCGAGACGUCGGUUGAAACCGUUUGGCUAGAGUCCGGAAGAGGAGAGUGGAAUUCCCGGUGUAGCGGUGAAAUGCGCAGAUAUCGGGAAGAACACCCGUGCGAAGGCGGCUCUCUGGGACGGUACUGACGCUGAGACGCGAAAGCGUGGGGAGCGAACA